rnacentral:tRNA from 1 species
GGAUGUGGCUUAAUGGUAGAACAUCUGCUUUUCAGGUAAAAGGUCCCAGGUUCAAGCCCAGACAACUCCA